UAUUCCUUUUUCUGCUGUUUAUGGUUCUUGUUUGUUCCAUUGUCAUUGCAUGAAUCUGCAAAAAAUAAGUAUUUGUGGUUUUGUAUUCCGUUCCCUGCUGUCUCACUUAAAGUCAUGUAUCUUCUUACAGAAACUUUGAACGGUCAAUAGUACCUAUUUAUUUGUGUUUUUUCUACUUCAAACUAUAUUUUAUUUAUAGCACACAUGAUAUAUGCUCCCCUCUCCUUUACUAUGAAGAUGAAUGUGAUGAAGCAGGAGCCUUGGUUAAUAUGAUUAUGCUCAUGCUGUAGAUCCUGUUGCUAGCUGAGGCUUAGUCCAAUAAACCAUAAAUGUCAUUUGAUUAUUCUUUUUCCUCAAAAAACAUAGGCUGAUAGUGGAAUGUUCUCACAGUGCACCAACAUGAUUUUCUCAUGCAUUGCAUCCUACAAAAUAUUUAGUAUCUAGAGUUCUUUAUACAUUUAAGACUCUUCCAUCAAAUUUUCAUCAACCAUUAUUAACUUACUGACCAUAGUCAUUCUGGCAGGAUCCCCUCUAUUUUGUUGGUGCCACCAAGGAGUUAUUGAGAAGGGCUGGCUUGCGCAUGUUGUCAGUUGACGCUGGAGCUGCGUGAUAUGGUCAGUAGCCUAGCCUCUGGAGAUCAGAAUCAUUGAAUUUUGAAUUGGCACUGUCUCUCUGUAGAUAUGCAGGUACAUUUCCAAACCCUAAUUUGAUGACCAUGUCCAUGCAACUCUGCUUACCAUGAUCCUAAGCAAAGUUCUUGAGGAGGCAGGAAGCUUGGAACCGAGGUAAAUGACCUUCUCUUAUGCAUUUUAAUCUCCUAAAGUUGACUCUUCCAGUUGGAAAUGGAUGUUCAGUAAAGCUUGAGUACUACUAGCUUUAAUAUUGUGGACUGCAAACUACUAUCGAGUUCUAACACUACAAGCUCUGUUUCUAAAAACA